UCUACCUUCUCAUCCUGAAAUAUUAGAUGCUGCUGUCAUUCCGUUUCCUGAUGCUGAAGCUGGGGAGGUUCCUAUUGCAUUUGUGGUUAGAUCUCACAACAGCUCACUAACAGAAGUUGAUGUUCAAAAGUUUGUUGCAAAUCAGGUGGCACCUUUCAAGAGGCUGAGGAGGGUAACUUUUGUGAACAGUAUUCCGAAAUCUGCUGCCGGAAAAAUUCUCAGAAGGGAACUCAGAGAGAGAGUAAGGUCCAAGUUGUAGAACCUGGGCACUACCCUCAAAACACAUGCAGCAGGUUUCAAAGCUGUUCAAUUCUUUCGAGAAGGCUUUUCUAGGUUCUGUUACCUGAGCAAAGAGAUGUAUCAUUUUGCUUCCACGUCAAUGUUACUUGAUAAAAGAUAAGAUUAAAAAGAAAUAAUUGCCAUUUGUUGCUCACGCUCCUACAAAGUCGUGCAUAGCUACAGUGGAAGUAUUUGGACAUAUGUAUAUAAUAAAACAGCAGCGUGCACUUUUUUUAUCUGUCAAAUUUACCUUCAUGUAAGUCUCUUCAAGCAUAUUCUGUGCAACUCCUACAACUUCACACAGCAAUUUCACCUUUUAAUUA